AUUGAACGCUGGCGGCAGGCCUAACACAUGCAAGUCGCACGAGUGGCGGACGGGUGAGUAAUGUCUGGGAAACUGCCUGAUGGAGGGGGAUCAAUAGUGGAAACGGUAGCUAAUACCGCAUACAAUCGGAUGGGCCCAGCGGGGAUUAGCUAGUAGGUGGGGUAAAGGCUCACCUAGGCGAAGGUCCCUAGCUGGUCUGAGAGGAUGACCAGCCACAGUGGAACUGAGACACGGUCCAGAGUCCUACGGGAGGCAGCAGUGGGGAAUAUUGCACAAUGGGCGCAAGCCUGAUGCAGCCAUGCCGCGUGUAGGAAGAAGGCCUUCGGGUUGUAAAGUACUUUCAGCGGGGAGGCGUUACCCGCAGAAGAAGCACCGGCUAACUCCGUGCCAGCCGCCGCGGUAAUAC
rnacentral:rRNA from 1 species